UUCGGGAGAAAGAUUUAUCGGCAAGAGAUGAGCCCGCGUUGGAUUAGCUAGUUGGUGGGGUAAAGGCCUACCAAGGCGACGAUCCAUAGCUGGUCUGAGAGGAUGAUCAGCCACACUGGGACUGAGACACGGCCCAGACUCCUACGGGAGGCAGCAGUGGGGAAUAUUGGACAAUGGGCGCAAGCCUGAUCCAGCCAUGCCGCGUGAGUGAUGACGGUCUUAGGAUUGUAAAGCUCUUUCACCGGUGAAGAUAAUGACGGUAACCGGAGAAGAAGCCCCGGCUAACUUCGUGCCAGCAGCCGCGGUAAUACGAAGGGGGCUAGCGUUGUUCGGAUUUACUGGGCGUAAAGCGCACGUAGGCGGACUUUUAAGUCAGGGGUGAAAUCCCAGAGCUCAACUCUGGAACUGCCUUUGAUACUGGAAGUCUUGAGUAUGGUAGAGGUGAGUGGAAUUCCGAGUGUAGAGGUGAAAUUCGUAGAUAUUC
rnacentral:rRNA from 1 species